rnacentral:tRNA from 1 species
GCCUGGGUGGCUCAGUCGGUUGAGCAUCUGAGUUAGGUUCAGGACAUGAUCUCACAGUUUGUGGGUUCGAGCCCCACAUCCGGCU